rnacentral:lncRNA from 1 species
GUGGCCAAUUGGUUAAUUUGUUUUGCUUAACUGUACUUUGUUAGAAGGAUGCAUUCUCCUGGGGUAAGGGAAUUCUUGAGAAGUGAUAGUGAUAUGAAAAAGCAUAUCAGUAGAAACCUUUUUUUGGAAAGAAGAUGAAAAGGCUAGAGAAGGGCUUCUCUGCCCUCAAGGUUAUUGGGGAUCUUAUUUUUAUUUCAUCAUGUCCUACUUUUUGUGACCGUAACUAUCCAGAGGGUUUUCUUGGGAAGUAUUUUGGAGUAUUUCGUCAUUUCCUUCUCCAGGGGAUCCAGAGGAUUAGUGAUCCCCAAGUCCUAAAAUUUGGAGCUGGAAGGGACCCCGGAGAUCAGAAUCUGGAGAUUAAUAUCUCUAGAGUAAAUAAAGAAGAGAGAGGUCGAAAGCUUCAUCAGAAUCCAGAUCAACGUCCACAAGUAUCUGGUGGUCGCCAUCCUCAGCAUCCAAGUGGCCACUGUCCCCAGGCACCUGGUCAUCAUCUCCAGCAACCAAAAUGUCCACCAACUAGAAGCAAUAUUUUUUUCCCAGUUCAUUUGCAGUAUCAACUAUACCCUUUGUUUAAGGU